rnacentral:rRNA from 1 species
GACGAACGCUGGCGGCGUGCUUAACACAUGCAAGUCGAGCGGUAAGGCCCUUUCGGAGGUACACGAGCGGCGAACGGGUGAGUAACACGUGGGUGACCUGCCCUCAGCUCUGGGAUAAGCCUGGGAAACCGGGUCUAAUACUGGAUAUGACUCCAUGACGCAUGUUGUGGGGUGGAAAGCCUUGUGCGGCUGAGGAUGGGCCCGCGGCCUAUCAGCUUGUUGGUGGGGGAGU